CGUGCGUGGACCCCCGUGCGUGCACUGACGGCUCCUCAUGCUCUGUGUCGAGUGAGUCCGGCACAGUGCCUACCAGUGGUUUGGAGUCUGUCGGCCCAGGUCACCGUUCCGGCCUUUCCUUCCUUUGCUUCUCCUCUUGCCGGCUUCGUAACUUGGCACAGCGCCUCUCCUCAGGCUUCAGAGUCUGUGUCCGUGAGGAGGGUGACCUCUGUGCCUCGUUACAGGGCCGCGUGAACAGCCGAUGGGUGUGUACACGUAGAGCGUGGUAGGAAUCAGGCGUCGGGCUCUCAUCUGUUACUGCGGUAGCAUCACAUGUGCUUGGGCGUGUGCGUCGUUCUGUGACCACGUGUCGUGCAUGCAGAAAUACCGGGGUAAGUCCUGGGGCUGGCGGAGGAAAGGGCGCUUUCCCGAGACUUGGCCCCUUUGCUCUCCGAAUGCCCCUGAGAUGACAGGUUCUGUAAUGGGAGGCUGCCGCCAUGUGACGGAAGCAGGGAAGGGUCUCUAGUCGUGCUUGCAGAAGCCUGUGGUGAGCGACGGUGGCGCUGAAGCCCCGGAGAUGUGGUGGCGGCUUCUCUGUUAAGUCCUGGGAGUGGAAAUCGUCCCAGAUGCUUACCACUGACUUGAGUGCAUUUACUUCCCACUGGUGUGGGUGUGAGCCUGGCCGGCAGUAGCAAACUGUAGUUGUGUUCGUGGAAACUUAGAGGAGAUAGGUCUUCAGGGGUCACACAGCAUGAUUACCUAGGGGCGAUCUGACGUUUACCCAGGUGGGACCGCGCGACGGGUAAGCAGCAGGUGCACACGCUGUCCUGGUGAAGCCAUCGGCCGUCGGGAGCAAGCUGGAGCGCACCUUUCGUCUUUGUCUCUUGGCUUGGGUCCCUCUGCGACUUGCCUGUGAUUGCAGCAUUAGCCACACACAGCCACGUAUUCUCUUCCUUCUGUGUGUCUGAGCGCAAAGACCGCGCCUCCGCAUGCUGGGAAUUGCCGGGAUGAUUCCCAUUCCUCCGGCUCCAUCUUGGCAUUGCACCUGGAGGCUGGCGGAUGGGUCCAGCGUUCUCUCCGCCGUUGCUCAGCUUACGGUGUCUGAACGUGAAAGCACAGUGUUUUGAACUGUCUGGGAAUUCUACUCACCAGGGUCAUGUUUUCACUCCCUCACCUACUUUAAUCUACUGGGACUUCGUAUUUCCUAGGAAGGUGUUAAUGGUGAGGAAGGCUGACGUGGUUAAUAAGGGAACGCAAGCCAAACCAGCAGUGAGGAAUGGCUUUUACCCAUCAAGCCGGGAGCAGCUUUAAGGUUGACAACAGCAUCAGCCUUGGUGUGCGGAAGCGGGGCUGCCGGGAGGCGGCCUUCCCCGCAGCCAGAAGCACAGGGUUUGAGGCGCCUGGGUCUGCCCCACAGCUGUGCCUCGGACCGCCCGCCUCUGUUCUCUCCGCUCUUGCCUGUGCACGGGGAUGAUGGGCACACCUGUCUCCCAGCGUUGCCGGGAGAAAUACUUAACAUACAUAAAAUGCUUGGAGCAGCAUCCUGCAUGAAACAGUGCAACACGAGUGUCAGGUGAAUCAAAGCACGGUACUUCUGGACGAUACAGUGUUAUUUAGGCUGCACUAAAAUCCUAAGCGCAUAUGCUCUCUGGUUCUUCAGUUCCUUUUCUGGACGUGUGUCUCACAGUAAUAUUUCUUCUUAACGUAAAAGUGAAAUAAAACAAAUGAUUGUAUGUCCUUGUUCCCGAAUACCGUCCACAGUUAGGAUGGGUCAGUUCACUGGUGUGUGCGGUGUGCGUCCUGCGUGGGUCCCGCACGUGCGCACGGCAGGACCCACACGAUCCGCUGGGGGGCGGCCGAGUCGCAGAGACUGUGCCUGUCGUGCUUCUGCUUUUCUUUGAGUGCAGAUGGGUUUGUGCGUGCACACGCUUCCGGAAGUGCACCUGGGAGGGUCUCUGGUGGCGGCUGCCUGUGAGGCAGGGGUGGGUGGGGCGAGGAUGCACACAUGCUCUUGCGUUCGCUGUGACUUCUGUUGCUGCGCUUGACUCGUUCACAGGAAAGACUUGCUCGUGCUUCACACACAUCACUGGUUCUAAAGUUUCCUCAGAAGAACAGUGUGCAGUGGACUAAGGAGAGCUGGUGUCUGAGGCCAGAGGCGGGGGAGAUGUUGGGAAAGGGGACGGGCUGGUGUCCACGCCUGGGCAGGGGCUGUGCCGUGGGUCUGGGUUAAGCCCCACAGGGACGCCGCCGACUGGGUUAACAUCCCCGUGCCUCCACUUCUGGUCUGUCAAGGGGAGGAUGGUGGUACCCGGCAGGGUUGUGUGUUGCUGAGCCCAUGUGUGCAGAGAUCUCGGGACAGCUGAGCCCGCAGAGACGUCAGCGGAGGACAGCUCUGUCAUCGGAGGCGGGGCUGUCUGCAGAGCUGUUCCUGCAGGGCUGCUGAGACGGUGAACGGGAAGGCCUUGUCCGGCAAGGUGGCUGACGAUCCAAGGGUCGUGUCCCAGGGCCUCACAUGCUUCUGUUCUUACUUUUUGAGUCUCCUUUGCCUGCAAAGGAAAGAAUCCGGGCGUCUGAGUGUUUUCUGACCAGCGAGGGACUCUAUUAAAUGCAAGCGCAUAGCAGCAGAUCUAAGUAAUGCGAGAUGGGCGUCCUUGGUUCACAUUUUACGUGAGUCUGCCCAGUUUUCCAUAGUAUCUUUGUAAACGUAACUGAAGACCCUGGUAGCAAAUGCAGUCCAGAAGUGGCCCAGUGAGUCUUGUUCCUUGCCUGCUGUUCUUGAACGUAGGGAAGCAGGGCCUGUCACUGAGACGGCAGAACGUGCAUCCUUGAAUCGUAGACGAGCUUUCCCUCCCAGAGCUCGUGGGCAGCACGUCUUGGUCGCCGCCUGGCCCUUACUUGGGCCAAGUCACGGCCACGCCUGCAUUUUGCUUCCGUGUGGCUUUCCACAACAAAAUACGUGCGCCUUUGAACCCUGCUGUUCGCUGUGUCUGUGUCCCGGGGCUGUUAGAAGUGCCUCAGGCUGGGGGCCAUGGAAACAGGGAAGCUGUUGCCUCGGGGUCUCGGGCUGUUUGCAGGCGGUGCCUGGAAGAGUGUGUGCUCCAGGCCUUCCUGCUGCUGGCGCCCCAUCUGUGCCUCCGUGGCUGGAGACGUGGCACCGUGUGGCCACUGCAUCACAUGCCAUCUCUGUCUCUUUCUCUCAUAAGGACACUGGUCACUGGAUUAGGGGCCCAUCGCACUCUGUCCAGCGUGACAUCUUCUCAACCAACGACCUCUACAAAGACUCUCUUUCACAUUAAUAAGGUCACAGUCGAGGUCCUGGGACCAAGACCAGUCAUAGGUUUUGGGGACACAACCCACAGCGGGUACCAAGCCUCCUGAUUCCUGACUGUCAUGUCGUGUUUUGCAGAGGACAGAAGUGCGGGGUCGGGAGUCCUGGUGGCACAGGGCUCCCGCGGGGCUCCUCCUUUCACUUUAGAGAGCCAGUUAGGUUCCAGUGUCCAGGGCUCUUUUCCAAGUACCUCCACACGGACCUUCUAACUUGGGCAGAGUUUUCUUCUGUGUCUGGUUGGUUCUACCUUUUUGAUUUUUAGCAGAUGGAACAAUUCAAUUUCCAGACUUUCUUAUGCUUUCUUUUUGUUAUUAUUUAUUUUUAGUUUUUAUUUGAGAUAUAAUCGACAUGUAGCAUAGGCUUCUUUUUAAAACACCCCAGUUACUCGAUUCAGAUGAGACCUCCUUUUGCACAUUUUAACUUUUAUGUUUCCCUGUUUACAUUUUUAGGUUCAUUAUAAAUCUUGACACUAUUUUAAAGCCGAACAGCAAACUUCUGUUUAUUGUCCAACUGUUAGAUUGUAAAGCAAUGCUACACAUGCGUGCAUAGAAAAUUACAGGAACAAGCGUGGUGUUCACCUAAAUCGUGCUGUCACGUAGCUCAUAGCUCACGUGCAAGGGUCUUUGGGUACGGGGAUAAAAUCAUGAUCUUGGAACUAUUUCAUCUGUUCAGUAGUUGACAGACUGCCUCUCCAGGGGAAAGGAUGCACCACUGAACAGAAAGAAACCCACUUGCCCUCAGGAAGCUGAGGCUGAUGGGCGAGGCACCUGCCGUGCGGACAGGAGUUGGGGGUGUGCUGUUUGAUGGGGUGAUGAGUCCUUGCAGAUCUGAGCUGCCCUGGAGGGCAGUGCGGGAGGAAGGUGCGGGGACGUCUGCUGCAAGAACACUGCAGGUAGAGAGGUGAGAGCAGGUGCAGAAACCCCCAGGCGGGAGAGGGCUGGGUCCCGGAGAAACGGCUGGGGGCUGGCGCGGAGUGAGCGGGAGGCGUGGGGCUCACGGGCCAUGGAGGAGAUAGAGGCAGUGAACCUGUACUUCUUCCCCUGACCCUACAACAUCCUACAAAACGCUGCUCAGCCAAAAACUUCCCUAAGAGCUGGUCAUCCAGCACGGUGUAGCAUGACUCUCAUUUCAGAUUCUUAACCACGGCAUGCGUCCAUGCGGGGCAUGUCUGAGCUCGGACCCUUACCCGCGGUGUGUGGCUGGACGUCCGAGCUCAGAUCGUUACCCGCGGUGCACGUCCGCACCGGGCACGUCCAAACUCAGAUCCUUACCGAUGGCAUGCGUCCGCAUUGGGCACGUCCAAACUCAGAUCCUUACCCACAGCGUGUGUCCGCACGGGGCACGUCUGAACUCGAGGUGGGAGCAGCAGAAUCUCCGAUUCUGCUUCCUGCCGUCAUCGGUUCUUGGAGACCUUGUUCUCCCCAUUAGUCGCUUCCCUCGCUGGAAAAUCUGACCCGGAGAGAGACGGGCAGAGAAGGAAUCAGACGGUCUUCUUGCUGACUGCAGGCCUUCACGCCUCUAUCCCGGAAACCCGCAGGCCGACGGAUGACAGCAACCAGCCCCCGGGCCGGGGCGUCCUCUCCAUGCACGGGCUGACCUACGGCGUCAUCCGGGUAGACUCCGAGGAAAAGCUGUCUGUGCUCACCGUGCAGGACGUCGGCCUCGUGAUGCCUGGAGCCAUCAUGUGUUCAGUGAAGCCGGAUGGCGUCCCUCAGCUGUGUAGGACAGAUGAGAUUGGGGAGCUCUGCGUGUGUGCCAUUGCGACGGGCACGUCCUAUUACGGCCUGUCGGGCAUGACCAAGAACACCUUCGAGGUAGGUUUGCAGGGGUGCGCUCCCUCCAGGUGUGCUCUGCGGGUGAUCCUUAGAGGUGCACAGACACGAAAGAGAAGGUUUUGUUUU